GAUGAACGCUGGCGGCGUGCCUAAUACAUGCAAGUCGAGCGAACGGACGAGAAGCUUGCUUCUCUGAUGUUAGCGGCGGACGGGUGAGUAACACGUGGAUAACCUACCUAUAAGACUGGGAUAACUUCGGGAAACCGGAGCUAAUACCGGAUAAUAUUUUGAACCGCAUGGUUCAAAAGUGAAAGACGGUCUUGCUGUCACUUAUAGAUGGAUCCGCGCUGCAUUAGCUAGUUGGUAAGGUAACGGCUUACCAAGGCAACGAUGCAUAGCCGACCUGAGGGGGUGAUCGGCCACACUGGAACUGAGACACGGUCCAGACUCCUACGGGAGGCAGCAGUAGGGAAUCUUCCGCAAUGGGCGAAAGCCUGACGGAGCAACGCCGCGUGAGUGAUGAAGGUCUUCGGAUCGUAAAACUCUGUUAUUAGGGAAGAACAUAUGUGUAAGUAACUGUGCACAUCUUGACGGUACCUAAUCAGAAAGCCACGGCUAACUACGUGCCAGCAGCCGCGGUAAUACGUAGGUGGCAAGCGUUAUCCGGAAUUAUUGGGCGUAAAGCGCGCGUAGGCGGUUUUUUAAGUCUGAUGUGAAAGCCCACGGCUCAACCGUGGAGGGUCAUUGGAAACUGGAAAACUUGAGUGCAGAAGAGGAAAGUGGAAUUCCAUGUGUAGCGGUGAAAUGCGCAGAGAUAUGGAGGAACACCAGUGGCGAAGGCGACUUUCUGGUCUGUAACUGACGCUGAUGUGCGAAAGCGUGGGGAUCAAACAGGAUUAGAUACCCUGGUAGUCCACGCCGUAAACGAUGAGUGCUAAGUGUUAGGGGGUUUCCGCCCCUUAGUGCUGCAGCUAACGCAUUAAGCACUCCGCCUGGGGAGUACGACCGCAAGGUUGAAACUCAAAGGAAUUGACGGGGACCUGCACAAGCGGUGGAGCAUGUGGUUUAAUUCGAAGCAACGCGAAGAACCUUACCAAAUCUUGACAUCCUUUGACAACUCUAGAGAUAGAGCCUUCCCCUUCGGGGGACAAAGUGACAGGUGGUGCAUGGUUGUCGUCAGCUCGUGUCGUGAGAUGUUGGGUUAAGUCCCGCAACGAGCGCAACCCUUAAGCUUAGUUGCCAUCAUUAAGUUGGGCACUCUAAGUUGACUGCCGGUGACAAACCGGAGGAAGGUGGGGAUGACGUCAAAUCAUCAUGCCCCUUAUGAUUUGGGCUACACACGUGCUACAAUGGACAAUACAAAGGGCAGCGAAACCGCGAGGUCAAGCAAAUCCCAUAAAGUUGUUCUCAGUUCGGAUUGUAGUCUGCAACUCGACUACAUGAAGCUGGAAUCGCUAGUAAUCGUAGAUCAGCAUGCUACGGUGAAUACGUUCCCGGGUCU
rnacentral:rRNA from 1 species